GGAGAGAUGGCCGAGUGGCUGAAGGCGCACGCUUGGAAAGCGUGUAUACACGAGAGUGUAUCAUGGGUUCGAAUCCCAUUUUCUCCG
rnacentral:tRNA from 1 species